GAGGCGGCAAGCUAGAGACAGCAACUGCAUAUCUUGCAAGAAAAUCGGUUUUAUGGCCAUACCGAUGAUUUUCUUGCAAGCUGUGCAGUUGUUGUCUCAAGCUUGCUGCCUCC
ncrna:Oryza sativa miR444c stem-loop (osa-MIR444c)